UACGUAGGGGGCAAGCGUUGUUCGGAAUUACUGGGCGUAAAGGGCGCGUAGGCGGCCCGCUAAGUCGAACGUGAAAUCCCCAGGCUCAACCUGGGAACUGCGUCCGAUACUGGCAGGCUUGAAUCCGGGAGAGGGAUGUGGAAUUCCAGGUGUAGCGGUGAAAUGCUUAGAGAUCGUCCAGAACACCGAUAGCGAAGGCAGCUUACUAAGGAGUAACUGACGCUGAGGCACGAAAGUGUGGGGAUCAAACAGG
rnacentral:rRNA from 1 species